ACUAUUUUCUGUAUUUAUUGUUUACUGUAUUUUCGUUUUCUGUAAUUUAGUUUUCUGUUCCAGAUUUAAUUUUAAUGUUUUAUUUUACUGUAAAUUCGUUUUUACUGUAGCAGUUUAAUUUUUACUGUUUUAAUUUAGUUUUACCGUUUUAGUUUAAUUUUUACCGUAAUUUAAUUUUUUGUUCAAACAAAUUGUAAACACCCCCUACUUCAUGUUAAAUCUGAGACUGAACCCACAAUAUUGGUCCUUGAGAGACGACCUAGGAGUCACUUCCUGGUAUCUAUACUGCAUUAUUUUUUCUGUAUCAAAUUUGUAUGACCGCGACAGUCGUAUCAAAUUUUGGCGCCGCUGCCGGGGAGUUUUCAGAUGAAUUGGCUAAUAUUGGCUUAGAGAUGCAUCUCACAGUUGAAAUGAAUUGGAAACCAAGCACAUAAGCACACAAAGUUUUAUGUGAAUAUUGUUGCACAAACAAUGUACAUGGAUGAUGGAAUGAAGCAUGGGUGCUGCCACAAAUUUUCUGAAUUUGUCACACUCUUCCAAUUCAUACAUGAAGCACAUAGAGAAUUAUUUUGGAACAUCUUUGGUGUGUCACAUGAAGCAUCCAACCAAGGAGAGCAUGGGACAAGUGGACCCAAAGCAAAGAAAGCAAAAGACCCAUGAAAGAGCACACAUUCACGUGGAAAUGGGCAGCCAACAAUGAAUGGAGUCUUGCUUCCUUUAUUUUAUUAGCACAUGCUCAUGGAAAUGUGAAGUGGAGCACCAAAGGAAUCAUAACUCUCAGCAGCCAUCACACCCAUGGAAGCCAAUGGAUUUAACACAAGCAAGAGACUUCACUUUCCAGCAGCAAAAACUUCACUUUCCAGCUGCAACAAUUCUUGGUUCAGCAGAAAAGGGGAGCUAGUGGAAGUACUCCAUUACUUUGAGGGCUCCAUCCACUAAGGAAUUCAUCAUCAUUUUGAGUGGAGAUGAAAGAAACCAAUUUUUUUUUUCUGAGUUGGGGAGAGAGAGCCGUGAAAAACCAAGGCAAACAAGAAGAGUUUGGAGUUGGAUGAGAAAAAAAACGAUGAUUGCUAGAAAGAAUGAAGGAUGAUGUAGCUUGAAGUUCUUGGUGCCUUCACCUUUGGUUUUGUACACUUUUCCAUUUAAGCUUUCAUUCAUCUACUGUUUUCAUCUUGGUAUUAAUUUGUAUUUUGAGUUUGUAAGUUGUUGUUGUAAUUUUAUAAGCAUUGUAAUUUCAAUUUGGAAGUGUUUCAUUCUA